rnacentral:lncRNA from 1 species
GACCGGUCCCCGGGAGACCGGUCCUUGUCCGAGAGACCGGUUCCCGAGAGUUGCAUUCUCGGGACUUAGCCAAAUUUGGCUAAGUCUCGCCAGGCCAACGUUCGGGAACCGGUCCCUGCCCAUCAGGGACCGGUCUCAUCAGAGACCUUCGCAACCCAGCCUGAUGGAACCGGUCCCUCCCUGCCAGGGACCGGUCCCCGAGAGCAUUUCUGCUCCAGUGCAGAUUUUGCACUGGUGCUCCCUCGGACCCUUCCUUAAUGCACUUUAUGCAUUAUAAACACCUUCGGACUUUCCGAAGCCUACACACUCGACAACUAGUCGAUUCUAGUCGAAGUCUAAUCCUCGAGUUUCGAGAAUUCACUUCCUUACAA